rnacentral:tRNA from 1 species
AAUAAAGGGCCUGAUAAAAGGGUUAUUUUGAUAGGGUAAAUAAUGUAAUUUUUUUUUACCUUUAUUAA